AAUGAAGUGCCUGAUAUAAAAGGAUUAUCGUGAUAGGAUAAAUAAUACAAAUUGAUUAUAAUAUUGUCUUCAUUG
rnacentral:tRNA from 1 species